rnacentral:rRNA from 1 species
UACAGAGGUCUCAAGCGUUGUUCGGGUUCAUUGGGCGUAAAGGGUGCGUAGGUGGCGUGGUAAGUCGGGUGUGAAAUUUCGGAGCUUAACUCCGAAACUGCAUUCGAUACUGCUGUGCUUGAGGACUGGAGAGGAGACUGGAAUUUACGGUGUAGCAGUGAAAUGCGUAGAGAUCGUAAGGAAGACCAGUGGCGAAGGCGGGUCUCUGGACAGUUCCUGACACUGAGGCACGAAGGCCAGGGGAGCAAACGGG